UACGUAGGGGGCAAGCGUUAUCCGGAUUUACCGGGUGUAAAGGGAGUGUAGGCGGUCUGGCAAGUCUGAUGUGAGACUCCGGGGCUCAACCCCGGAACUGCAUUGGAAACUGUCAGACUGGAGUGCAGGAGAGGAAAGUGGAAUUCCUAGUGUAGCGGUGAAAUGCGUAGAUAUUAGGAAGAACACCAGUGGCGAAGGCGGCUUUCUGGACUGUAACUGACGCUGAGGCUCGAAAGCGUGGGAGCAAACA
rnacentral:rRNA from 1 species